rnacentral:rRNA from 1 species
AUACGUAGGGGGCGAGCGUUGUCCGGAAUGAUUGGGCGUAAAGGGCGCGUAGGCGGCUCGGUGAGUCUGGAGUGAAAGUCCUGUUUUUAAGAUGGGAAUUGCUUUGGAUACUGUCGGGCUUGAGUGCAGGAGAGGUAAGUGGAAUUCCCAGUGUAGCGGUGAAAUGCGUAGAGAUUGGGAGGAACACCAGUGGCGAAGGCGACUUACUGGACUGUAACUGACGCUGAGGCGCGAAAGUGUGGGGAGCAAACAGGAUUAGAUACCCUGGUAGUCCACACUGUAAACGAUGAAUACUAGGUGUGCGGGGACUGACCCCCUGCGUGCCGGCGUUAACACAAUAAGUAUUCCACCUGGGGAGUACGAUCGCAAGGUUGAAACUCAAAUGAAUUGGCGGGG